UAAAAGAUAAGCUAAAUUCUAAGCUUUUAGGUUCAUACCCUAAAUAUAAAUAAUAUAUUUUAUCUAAUAA
rnacentral:tRNA from 1 species